AACUAAAUUUAAUAGAUUUUUCUUCUUCUAUUUUCCAGAAUUACAACUCCUCCCCAAUAGUUUCCAGUAAUUCAAAAAGUUCACCCCCUAAAGAGCUACAAACUCACCACAAAAGAUUCCAGGAAAAAUUCUGACCAUUUGAGGAAACCUGAGUCAACGUUGACCA